rnacentral:lncRNA from 1 species
UUUCAUAAAAGAUAUAGGCCUUAAAAUCAUUAUUCCAAUCGCCCUUUUCUAUCUUCAAAAGAUGCCAUAAAACUCUUCAUAUUCUCAAAAGAAUAAAAGUAUGUCUUAAAUUAAUAUCUUAAUUUCAAAUGGCUAUAUCUUCUUCACCCUAAUUCCAAAUUUUCUAAUUUUUAUAUACAAAUUGUAGUUCAAAUCCAAAACUUUACAAUCCUAUCUUUU